rnacentral:lncRNA from 1 species
UGGCUUAGGGUGGGAUUACAUACGCCUCCUGCCACAUCGGAUUUCCUUCUAUUUUGUCAGGGGUAGCAUCACCCAGUGAGUAAAUCUGUUAGUGAUCUCCCUUGCGUAACCUAGGAAUUCUCUCAGGAUCCAUUUCUCCAGUAGUUUUGAGAAGGCGACCAACAACAGCAAAGCGAGCAGUUCUUCCAUUCCAAGAGCAGCCAUCUUGCUUAACUGACAAACUAGAGAGAACUGCAAGGACUCAGUACAUCCCUGGCACAAUCCAUUCUCUCUCACAGCAUAUUAUAUGAGACUGUGUGAGUGCUGCUUCCACGGUGCACUAAAAACCCAUGGUCCCUGCAUUAUUUGAGCAACUGACAAGCUUCUGAAGUUCAGAUUCGCGAAAGCUGAGAGCAGCACCCAGUGGAUUUGUGGCAGACCAAGCUGGCUGGUGUCGCCUCAGUUUGUCUAAAUUACCAAGGACCGCUGGAAUUUUCCUGGGAAUAUGUUUCGGGAAAGGUCAGAAACUCUUCAGUCGUCUUCACGCUUCCACUCAGUAGCAACGUUUUUGCACAUUCAUUGACUAUCAACUGGUUCUCUAUGACUCAAAUUACAUAAUGAAUCCAGCACAUAAAUUAUUUACUCAGAUUUAAUUCCAGCAACUGUUAUCUUUGUAUUUUUUUCCCCUCUGCCAGCUAAUCUGGCUCAUUUCAUUGGAAUUUUGGUCAUGCCCAUUCUCCUUCUGCACUAAAUUAACUCCAUAACGUAGUAUAAACAGAACAAGCUUGUGUGCGAUAUGCUUAACUGUUAAUUUACCUAAUUAAACUAAUUCAAUUAAAUCAUUUACAUCUUUUUGGUAACAUGCCAGUUGAUACCACAGCAGAAGUGGGAUGUUUCAGAAGAUGAUUGUUCAGCAAAUGAAUGAGACAACCGUCCAAAUCUCUUGGCUUGAAAAUUAAAUGAUACUGAAAAAAAUGCAGCUUUCACGGGGCACUGUGAUUAGAUAUUUUCGUUAAAUCAAUUUUCUCUAGAAAUUGGUAUUUUAACAGAGUGAUCACAA